rnacentral:misc_RNA from 1 species
AUGUGGGGGGGCUUGCCCCCGAUGGCUGUGUGUCAGCAACAGAUUUAUUAGCUGAUCCACCGAAUCGGGGGCAAGCCCCCUCCCAC